CGAGCUUUCGCCGAGCUUGCAGCGCGUUACGCGCGUCUGAUAUAUCGGCCGAAUAACUUUAUCUCUUCCCCGUUAUAUUUCCGAGAUCGUUUCCAACUACCGUUGCAGUGAAAGAGCCGAUCGACGUUUCAAGUCUCCGCGAUUCGAUACCGUCAAGUUCCGACAAACACUGACGACGAUCGUUCCGCAGACACCCGCGUUGCUUCGAUCUCUCCUCGAUCAGCUUUGUAUUAAUCGACGUCUUCGCUAACGUAUCAAACACGCAUCGUGUCCGUCCGUGAGUCUCUCUAUCUCUCUAUCUCCCGAUACGUGUGGUCGCCCAGCUUUCGUUUUACACCAGAAGAACUAUCCGCGAUUCGGAUCGUCGAUAUAUUCUCCUCGGACAGAUCAUUUCCCAGAACUUACAACCGAUUGCAACCGACGACUUCACAACGACUGACACGUCUUAUUCCACUUCGAUGUAUAUCUCAAUUAUUCCGAUACUCAGAGAACAAAGUGGAAUAAUUACAGUGUUUUUCGCUAAUCGCGGAAAUGAUCGCGACGAGAAUGCGACACUGAGACUGCGGCAAGGCUUCGGUUUCUUAGAAACAGAGAGAGAAGGAGAAUUAGUUGUCAAAAUAAGACCGGGAUUGUUAUUGCCGACGACGAUAAGAAUCGUCGAUGAGCUUUUCUUCUUUUCAACGAAGAAGUUUAUACAUCUGUGCGUGUUCCUUGAAUUAUUACGGAGAUACUUCCGAAGUUAUUCGAAGCAAUUACGAAGGUUCGAAAAGUGAACUGCUCCUUGGGGAAAAUGAAACGUACAGAUAUCGAUCGUAUUACCUCAAAUGUGUGGGAUAAAAAGUGACCAGCACACAGUAAACCACACUAACUCCCAUCGAUGUCAGGGCUUCGAAUAUACAAGAAACUAUCAGAUUCUGUGUCGAUGACGUUACGAAGAAGAGACCAACGGCAGCAGCGCCCGGAAACACAGUGCUGACGACUGAAAAAUGAAAGUUGACGUCCGAUGCAUAAGGGAAGCCAGACGCUGGUGGGAAUGCAGGCCAGACCCAGAAAAAUUGUGUAAAGGAAGACGGAACCCUGGAGUUUGGUCUCACACCCAAAUUCAUCUACGACGUCUACCUGCUGAAGAUUGUUUUAAGCACAUCAGCCACUACUUACGGGAUAAUUUUCGGCCGGCUUUCCCGAGUUCUCAGCGUACAUCCGAGCCAGAAUCUGCAUCGCUCGGUGAUCCUGACUGUCCUCAAACAGGUACUUUGGUGAUUCUGG
rnacentral:lncRNA from 1 species